rnacentral:rRNA from 1 species
UUUUGGACAAUGGGGGCAACCCUGAUCCAGCAAUGCCGCGUGAGUGAAGAAGGCCUUCGGGUUGUAAAGCUCUUUUGUCAGGGAAGAAGCACCGGCUCUAACACAGUCCGGGAAUGACGGUACCUGAAGAAUAAGCACCGGCUAACUACGUGCUAGCAGCCGCGGUAAUACGUAGGGUGCAAGCGUUAAUCGGAAUUACUGGGCGUAAAGCGUGCGCAGGCGGUUAUACAAGACAGGCGUGAAAUCCCCGGGCUUAACCUGGGAAUGGCGCCUGUGACUGUAUAGCUAGAGUGUGUCAGAGGGGGGUAGAAUUCCACGUGUAGCAGUGAAAUGCGUAGAUAUGUGGAGGAAUACCAAUGGCGAAGGCAGCCCCCUGGGAUAACACUGACGCUCAUGCACGAA